CAAGGGUAAAGAUACUAAUGUUCGUCACUCAUUCAUCACAGAUUACAUAUCCUAGGAGUUUACUGCUCUUUUUGCUCUUCCCUGGAUACUCUAUGAUUUGUUCACACCUCUUGCAGUGUCCCUAACUAAGCACUGCACCCUAGCUGAGCCUUAAUCAGCAGCUGGGCAGAACAGAAUAAUUCUCUUCUGUGUGUGACACUGUUGAGUCCUGUUGCAUCCUCAGAAGAGAUUUACCUUCUUGUAAAAAUGACAUGUUGUUGAAUUAUUAGUUUGUCAUCUAAUAUAAUUCCCAGGUCCUGAGAGAGGGGAAGGUUUUCUCUGGUUCACUAUCUGAAACAGAUUUAGUGGAAACAAAAUGAGAAUACAUUUUUUUUCCCAUUUAUUUUAAUAUUUCCAUGUCUGAUUUCACUAGAAAUGAUGAAGUGAAGAGUUGGAGAAAAUAAUACAAAGCUAAUUAAACUCCUUCAUAUUCCAAAACUGUCUUGAUUUGUUUGGCUAAAGUUUCAGUCAAAGAUUUGUGCUGUUUCUUGUCUAAUCUGAACUGAUUCACUUAUUCCAGUGAAUCUAAGAAUAGAUUUUCUGUCUAUGUGUGGUUCUUGACUGCCUGUAAUCUGAGGAAAUGAAAAAGGAAUGAAAUUACUUUUACAGUUACUGUGGGACAGUACUUGGCUGAAAUUCUUUCUUCAGUACUCAGUUUUUAAACAAAGGAUCCUGAGAACAGCUUCCAGCUUAUUCAGCAUCAUAGGGCUGAGCCCCUAGCUGUGCUGUUUGAUUCAGAUAUCUCACACUAUAUCUGAUUUUCUCUUUUUGCUGAUUACAGCUGUUAUAUAUAUAUAUAUAUUUGUUUAACCUAGGCUAGCUUUUUAGUUAUGAAGAAAACAAAUGAAAGGAGAGGGCAAAGAUCCAGCGCUACACAGACAUCACAAGUUCCGGUAAUAUGAACCAGAUAAAUAUGGCUCAGAAAAACAUAGUGAAACUUCAUUGGGUAUUUCAAGAAAUGUGAGCAAGGCAUCUGUUGAGGACAAACCCUUCAGCACACUCCAACCGCCACCCCAGCUGGACAACAGCUGGUGGGAAAGGAGAGGACGAUGUUGAGGCAAGAAGCUUAGAAGCCUAUGAGAGAAGCCUUGACGGAGAAAAACUUGGGGGUGUUGGUUGACGGGAAGCUCAACAUGAGCCAGCGAUGUGCUUGUGCCAACCAUAUCCUGAGAUGCAUAAAAAGAAGCAUGGCCAGCAGGUCAAGGAAGAACAUUCUAUGAUUCUAAGAAGCCCUGGAAGUUGUGGCCAUAGACCAAUGUUGCAGCUUUGUCCCCAUGGAUGUGAGUCUGAAGUGUGGAAGACCAGGAUCUAAAACAGAGCUGGGAAUUUCUGCAGCAUAGCUGGCUUGUAUUCCCUCAUCAAGUUAGUAACUAUUCAAUUAGAGCUGAGUACCUCAAAUAUAUUCCAUAAAAAAUAUCAGGACAUACCUGAGUUAACUUCUGUGCUUCUAUCUUCAUAGAAGUUAGUGACAUGAAAAUGGAAGCACAAAUCAGGCUAGCAGUGGGGAUUAUAUCCCACAUAUUUGACUUAGAAAACACUCUGAAUAGAAUUAUGGAACUGGAUCUGUACAAGAGCACUUUGUAUUUUUUCUUCUAUGGAUGCAGUACUAGCAAUUGUAUAAAAGAACAAGGAAUACACUAGAUUUUGAAACACAGAAAAGCAGCAAAAGCAUUGCUUAUUGCUUCUCAGUUGUUAGCUUUAUUUUGAUUAAAGAAAUGUAAAAUAAACCUGUGGUGGUUAAAUUAUUAGCCAAAAAAGCAUAGAACUUAAAAUAAUGUUCUCAUUUGUUGAUAAUUUUUUGUUGGUGAACAAAGAGAUGAGGACGAGAUAGAGGAGAGAGAGAAAAGAAAGGAAGCACCAGGUCUUCAUAAACAUUUCAUAAUUUCUGAUUAUUUAAACUUAAAUAAAGAAAAUGGAAAAGAAUGACAAUGUUAGUUGACAAUAAAUUGCCUUUAACUUUUACUAAAAAUAAUAGUUUUAUUUUCAUUCAAAAUAGUGAAUAUUUUUAACUGAAUGAAUAGUUUGUGAAUAAUACAAGUUUCCCAGAAAGCUUGGAAGAUUUUUAAUUUUUUUCUAGACAAGUCUUUUGAUAAAGAUAUUUUAAUAUGCUUUAUCUCAUAUGCUUCAACUACUUAAAUGUUAAUACUCUGUUGACCAUACUGUGUGCCAUAUAGUACACAAAGUAACACAAGCAAGCUGUACUCCUGAAUGUGAUGCAUUGUACUGAUCAUCCCCUGCCAUUAACAGGGUUUGUACAUGCAUACUUAAGAAUGCAUCAUUAACAUUUCUUAGUAUAUGUGGACUCUAUAUAUGUUUUCCAAGGCAGCAUCUUUGGAAAGAUUUGCUGAAAAGAUAUGAGGAACUAGUGGAUAAAAGACAAAUCAUAGGUAAAAACAUUUGAAUAUAACACAAGGAGACAAAACCUUUUGCAAUAUGAAAAACAGCAAAUGAAAUGUAGAAAGUCUAGAACAAUAAUUUAAAAUACCACAGGGGCAAUGGACAUGCUUUAUUUGUGUCUAAGCUUCACAUUGCUAAGAUAUAUGUUUAGAUCUUAUGGGGCUCUCAUGCCUCUUAGUCCUAUGUGGAUACUGAGAUAUCUCAUAGACAUGUAUAGACGUAAUGGUUAACAGAGCAACAGAGCUUGGGGAGAAAGAAAGUGCAGAAUUGAAUGCAACCACUUUUUGGAUCUUGGGAAUAGUAUAGCUUUAGUGAUCAGGGAAUAAAAAAAAAAAAAAA